GCAGCGCCACCUAACUUCGGUAGCGUUUUUCGGCCAACUGAUUAGUUCUUUCACUCUGAUUUGGCUAUGGGUGGGUUUAAAAUUGAAUUUCGUGCAAGAGGAGAAUUUUUUUAUCUCGUUUGGCGGUCGAAAAUUGCUCCAGUGCAGCGGCGGGUGGUUGCGGUUGGCUCCUCGGCGGCUGAGCUGUCUUCUCCGGCGAUAUGUUUUGGCGGUUAGGGUUAGGGUUUUGGUGCAGAUGAGGUUAUUUAUACCCAUCCGCUUUUGAUUUGGGUUGUUCAUCGCUUUUGAUCUGAACCGUCU
rnacentral:lncRNA from 1 species